CUUGUAGUGAAAUGGUAUCACGCCUGACUGUGACUCAAGCAGUGUGGGUUCAAUUCCCACCAG
rnacentral:tRNA from 1 species